CAGUAGCCACGGUAAUACGUAGGUGGCAAGCGUUGUCCGGAUUUAUUGGGCGUAAAGCGAGCGCAGGCGGUCAAUUAAGUCUGAUGUGAAAGCCCACGGCUCAACCGUGGAGGGUCAUUGGAAACUGUUAAACUUGAGUGCAGGAGAGAAAAGUGGAAUUCCUAGUGUAGCGGUGAAAUGCGUAGAGAUUAGGAGGAACACCAGUGGCGAAGGCGGCUUUUUGGCCCGUAACUGACACUGAGGCGCGAAAGCGUGGGGAGCAAACAGGAUUAGAUACCCCAGUAGUCCCUGUCUCUUAUAC
rnacentral:rRNA from 1 species